rnacentral:rRNA from 1 species
AUUGAACGCUGGCGGCAUGCCUUACACAUGCAAGUCGAACGGCAGCGCGGGAGCAAUCCUGGCGGCGAGUGGCGAACGGGUGAGUAAUAUAUCGGAACGUGCCCAGUAGUGGGGGAUAGCCCGGCGAAAGCCGGAUUAAUACCGCAUGAGACCUGAGGGUGAAAGCGGGGGAUCGCAAGACCUCGCGCUACUGGAGCGGCCGAUAUCAGAUUAGCUAGUUGGUGGGGUAAAGGCCUACCAAGGCAACGAUCUGUAGUUGGUCUGAGAGGACGACCAGCCACACUGGGACUGAGACACGGCCCAGACUCCUACGGGAGGCAGCAGUGGGGAAUUUUGGACAAUGGGCGCAAGCCUGAUCCAGCAAUGCCGCGUGCAGGAAG